AUUGAACGCUGGCGGCAUGCUUUACACAUGCAAGUCGAACGGUAACAGGCCGCAAGGUGUUGACGAGUGGCGCACGGGUGAGUAAUGCAUCGGAACGUGCCCAGUCGUGGGGGAUAACUACUCGAAAGAGUAGCUAAUACCGCAUACGAUCUAUGGAUGAAAGCGGGGGACCGUAAGGCCUCGCGCGAUUGGAGCGGCCGAUGUCAGAUUAGGUAGUUGGUGGGGUAAAGGCUCACCAAGCCAACGAUCUGUAGCUGGUCUGAGAGGACGACCAGCCACACUGGGACUGAGACACGGCCCAGACUCCUACGGGAGGCAGCAGUGGGGAAUUUUGGACAAUGGGCGCAAGCCUGAUCCAGCAAUGCCGCGUGCAGGAAGAAGGCCUUCGGGUUGUAAACUGCUUUUGUACGGAACGAAACGGCUCUGGUUAAUACCCGGGGCUAAUGACGGUACCGUAAGAAUAAGCACCGGCUAACUACGUG
rnacentral:rRNA from 1 species